UACGAAGGGUGCAAGCGUUAAUCGGAAUUACUGGGCGUAAAGGGUGCGUAGGCGGUUGUUUAAGUCUGUCGUGAAAUCCCCGGGCUCAACCUGGGAAUGGCGAUGGAUACUGGGCAGCUAGAGUGUGUCAGAGGAUGGUGGAAUUCCCGGUGUAGCGGUGAAAUGCGUAGAGAUCGGGAGGAACAUCAGAGGCGAAGGCGGCCAUCUGGGACAACACUGACGCUGAAGCACGAAAGCGUGGGGAGCAAACAGG
rnacentral:rRNA from 1 species